rnacentral:tRNA from 1 species
AAGUUUUUAGUUUAAUAAAAUAGUUCAUUUACAAUGAUCAGAUUUCUUAUGGAAAAAAUUUA